GGCUGGGGCUCAGUGGUAGAGCGCUUGCUUAGCAUGUGUGAGGCCCUGGGUUCAAUCCCCGGCAACCA
rnacentral:tRNA from 1 species